rnacentral:rRNA from 1 species
CCUACGGGUGGCAGCAGUGGGGAAUCUUGCGCAAUGGGCGAAAGCCUGACGCAGCGACGCCGCGUGAGGGAUGAAGGUCUUCGGAUCGUAAACCUCUGUCAGCAGGGAAGAACGGUCACUGUGCUAAUCAGCAGUGAAUUGACGGUACCAGCACAGGAAGCACCGGCUAACUCCGUGCCAGCAGCCGCGGUAAUACGGAGGGUGCGAGCGUUAAGCGGAAUUACUGGGGGUAAAGCGCUCGUAGGCGGUAUGUCAAGUCAAGGGUGAAAUCCCCGGGCUCAACGUGGGAACGGCCGUUGAAACUGGGAAACUGGAGUGAGUGAGAGGAAAGUGGAAGUCCAGGUGUAGGAGUGAAAUGCGUAGAUAUCUGGAGGAACAUCAGUGGCGAAGGCGACUAUCUGGCACAUAACUGACGCUGAGGAGCGAAGGCGUGGGUAGCAAACGGGAUUAGAUACCCGGGUAGUC